rnacentral:ncRNA from 1 species
UUUAAAUUUUAUUUUAGUUUAAAAGUUAGAAAUUAAAUUAGAUGUAUAUAAAGCUUGAAUUUAAAAGAUUAAAGUUUAACAUUUAAGAUUUUAAAAUUAGAGCAAUCUAGCAAAAGGAUUUAUUUAAAUUCCAACUAAUUAGGUGCCAGCAGUUGCGGUUAAACCUAAAGAUAACUAACUAAGUAUUUAUAUGCAUUAUAUUGAUCAAAAAAGAUAUUAAAACCAAAUUUUAAGUAAGUAAAAUUUUUAAAAUUUUGAAUAACCCUCAGAGAUAAAGAUAAAAAUUUCUAUCAAAAACUAGGAUUAGAUACCCUACUAUUAGAAUACCUAUAAUUAAAGUAGUAAAAGAAAAUCUUCAAACUUAAAAAAUUUGGCGGUAGUUUAACCUUACUAGAGGAAUCUGCUCUAUAAUUGACAACCCACAAUCUACACAAUUUUAACUAAAAAUAUUUAUAUAUCGCUGUUAAAUAUAAAUUUAUAAAUAAUAUAUAAAGACUGCUUAAACUCAUAAAAUCAAGUCAACACAUAAUUUUUAAAGAUGAAGUGGAUUACAUUUAAAUCAAUUAACUAGAAUAACUUGUAACAAGCCAGAUAUGAAAAAGAAUUUAGAAGUAAAUUAAAAAAAAUAUUUUAAUUAAAUAUGAUAUAGACUAUGUACAAAUCGCCCGUCAUUCUUAGAUAAAUUAAGACAAGUCGUAACAAAGUAAGAUUACUGGAAAGUAAUAUUAGAUA